rnacentral:rRNA from 1 species
GAUGAACGCUGGCGGCGUGCCUAACACAUGCAAGUCGAGCGAAGCACUUUGCUUAGAUUCUUCGGAUGAAGAGGAUUGUGACUGAGCGGCGGACGGGUGAGUAACGCGUGGGUAACCUGCCUCAUACAGGGGGAUAACAGUUAGACAUGACUGCUAAUACCGCAUAAGACCACAGCACCGCAUGGUGCGGGGGUAAAAACUCCGGUGGUAUGAGAUGGACCCGCGUCUGAUUAGCUAGUUGGUAAGGUAACGGCUUACCAAGGCGACGAUCAGUAGCCGACCUGAGAGGGUGACCGGCCACAUUGGGACUGAGACACGGCCCAAACUCCUACGGGAGGCAGCAGUGGGGAAUAUUGCACAAUGGGGGAAACCCUGAUGCAGCGACGCCGCGUGAGCGAAGAAGUAUUUCGGUAUGUAAAGCUCUAUCAGCAGGGAAGAAAAUGACGGUACCUGACUAAGAAGCACCGGCUAAAUACGUGCCAGCAGCCGCGGUAAUACGUAUGGUGCAAGCGUUAUCCGGAUUUACUGGGUGUAAAGGGAGCGUAGACGGAUGGGCAAGUCUGAUGUGAAAACCCGGGGCUCAACCCCGGGACUGCAUUGGAAACUGUUCAUCUAGAGUGCUGGAGAGGUAAGUGGAAUUCCUAGUGUAGCGGUGAAAUGCGUAGAUAUUAGGAGGAACGCCAGUGGCGAAGGCGGCUUACUGGACAGUAACUGACGUUGAGGCUCGAAAGCGUGGGGAGCAAACAGG